rnacentral:rRNA from 1 species
GAUGAACGCUGGCGGCGUGCCUAAUACAUGCAAGUCGAGCGAACGGACGAGAAGCUUGCUUCUCUGAUGUUAGCGGCGGACGGGUGAGAAACACGUGGAUAACCUACCUAUAAGACUGGGAUAACUUCGGGAAACCGGAGCUAAUACCGGAUGAUAUUUUGAACCGCAUGGUUCAAAAGUGAAAGACGGUCUUGCUGUCACUUAUAGAUGGAUCCGCGCUGCAUUAGCUAGUUGGUAAGGUAACGGCUUACCAAGGCAACGAUGCAUAGCCGACCUGAGAGGGUGAUCGGCCACACUGGAACUGAGACACGGUCCAGACUCCUACGGGAGGCAGCAGUAGGGAAUCUUCCGCAAUGGGCGAAAGCCUGACGGUGCAACGCCGCGUGAGUGAUGAAGGUCUUCGGAUCGUAAAACUCUGUUAUUAGGGAAGAACAUAUGUGUAAGUAACUGUGCACAUCUUGACGGUACCUAAUCAGAAAGCCACGGCUAACUACGUG